rnacentral:rRNA from 1 species
ACGUGGAUAACCUCGGGAAACUGAGGAUAAACCGCGAUAGGUCACUACUUCUGGAAUGGGUAAUGACCCAAACCUAUAUGGCCCCUGGAUUGGACUGCGGCCGAUCAGGCUGUUGGUGAGGUAAUGGCCCACCAAACCUGUAACCGGUACGGGCUCCGAGAGGAGGAGCCCGGAGAUGGGCACUGAGACAAGGGCCCAGGCCCUAUGGGGCGCAGCAGGCGCGAAACCUCUGCAAUAGGCGAAAGCUUGACAGGGUUACUCUGAGUGAUUUCCGUUAAGGAGAUCUUUUGGCACCUCUAAAAAUGGUGCAGAAUAAGGGGUGAGCAAGUCUGGUGUCAGCCGCCGCGGUAAUACCAGCACCCCGAGUGGUCGGGACGUUUAUUGGGCCUAGAGCAUCCGUAGCCGGUUCUACAAGUCUUCCGUUAAAUCCACCUGCUCAACAGAUGGGCUGCGGAAGAUACUAUGGAGCUAGGAGGCGGGAGAGGCAAGCGGUACUCGAUGGGUAGGGGUAAAAUCCGUUGAUCCAUUGAAGACCACCAGUGGCGAAGGCGGCUUGCCAGAACGCGCUCGACGGUGAGGGAUGAAAGCUGGGGGAGCAAACCGGAUUAGAUACCCGGGUAGUCCCAGCUGUAAACGAUGCAGACUCGGUGAUGAGUUGGCUUUAUGCCAACUCAGUG